rnacentral:rRNA from 1 species
GAUGAACGCUGGCGGCGUGCCUAAUACAUGCAAGUCGAGCGAACAAACGAGGAUUUUGCUCCUUUGACGUUAGCGGCGGACGGGUGAGUAACACGUAGGUAACCCAUCUAUAAGGCUGGGAUAACUUCGGGAAACCGGAGCAAAUACCGGAAAAUAUUUCGAACCGCAUGGUUCGAUAGUGAAAGACGGCUUUGCUAUCACUUAUAGAUGGUCCUGCGCCGUAUUAGCUAGUUGGUAAGGUAACGGCUUACCAAGGCAACGAUACGUAGCCGACCUGGGCGGGUGAUCGGCCACACGGGAAGGGGGACACGGACCAGACGCCUACGGGAGGGAGCAGUAGGGAACGUGCCGCAGUGGGCGAAAGCCUGGCGGAGCAACGCCGCGUGAGUAAUGAAGGUGUUCGGAUCGUAAAACUCGGUUUUGGGGGAAGAACAAAUGUGUAAGUAACUGUGCACGUCGUGACGGUACCUAAACAGAAAGCCACGGCUAACUACGUG